AGCGCUUGAGUAAGGAUUUCGCCGCUCAGUGAUACGGUUCACUAGACGACGUUGUCAACACGUAAUGGCGGCCAUUAUUUGACGUUGGAUUUGGCAUUCCACUCUGGAAAGUUGCAUUUAUGACAUUCUUGGAUGCUUACACUUUAUGCUAAACAACACAAAAGGAUGGAGAAAGAUGUUCAAUAUGAAUCAAAAAUUCAAAACAGAGGACUUUUAUAUAUCAACAAAAACAAUUGCAGUACAUGCACAUGUAUGAUUGAUAUACAUACAGCAAGAAAACAGUAAUCAAAUAGAGUCAACAACGAGUAAUAUCGAAAGCAAAAUUAUUUUGUAAAUACAAAACAAUAUGACUAGAAUAUAUUACGGUACACAACACAUCCUGUCAGAAGAAUAAUUUUACUGGAGGAUGAAAAUUUUGAUACCUGGAAUCAGCAAAAUUUAUAUGAAAUUUGUUAUGAGAGAUAUAUUCAUGUACAGAAUGGUAACCGGGUGGUUCAAGUGUUUAUUAGCAGACAUUUUUGUUGAACUUGUGCAGGAUUGAAUAAAUGAAACAGCUGACUAUGGGCUCAAUGUGUAGUAAAAAGAGGAUUCUGAAAUAUUAGUAUGCAAGAUAUAUCAUCAUUAAAAUGUGCAUAAGUGACAGUGAAAUGUCACCAU